rnacentral:rRNA from 1 species
AGUGAACGCUGGCGGCGUGCUUAAGACAUGCAAGUCGAACGCAGUCUUCGGACUGAGUGGCGCACGGGUGAGUAACACGUAACUGACCUACCCCCAAGUCGCGGAUAACUGGCCGAAAGGUCAGCUAAUACGUGAUGUGAUGUCCCCUUUCUGGGGGCCAUUAAAGGUUUACUGCUUGGGGAUGGGGUUGCGUUCCAUCAGCUAGUUGGCGGGGUAAAGGCCCACCAAGGCAACGACGGAUAGCCGGCCUGAGAGGGUGGCCGGCCACAGGGGCACUGGGACACGGGUCCCACUCCUACGGGAGGCGGCAGUUAGGAAUCUUCCACAAUGGGCGAAAGCCUGAUGGAGCGACGCCGCGGGAGGGAUGAAGGUUCGCGGAUCGUAAACCUCUGAAUCAGGGACGAAAGACGCGUAAGCGGGAUGACGGUACCUGAGUAAUAGCACCGGCUAACUCCGUGCCAGCCGCCGCCGUAA